GUAAACAUGAAUUUCGAUCUGAUAAGUGGGGUCCACUUUUCCUUGUACCUUGCACUUCCUCCGAAGCUAGCUUGUUCAAGAAAAUUGACCAACAUCAGGGUGAUGAUUAAUGAGAGAUUUGUGGAAGGAAGAGGAUACUAAUUAACACCGUAGUAGAGGAAGGGGAAAAAAAGAACACGGGAGAAGAAAAAAUAAAAAUAAUCCACGCUCGGUGGCAGCUUGUGGAAAUUGUGGGAAUGAGGGCGUCUGAUAUGAGAAGCAAAGCAUUUAAAGUGGCGGUAAUCGUGCACGCAAGCACACGAGGUAACAUACACAUGUAGCACACAUGGAUGGGACCCAUUGCUGUCCAAACAUAGGCUUACAGCCCUACAAGAAUCAAUGAUGGAGUAACCCCUCUUUUUCAUUGGUUCAAAAGCAUACUAUUAGCCCCUUGUGGUCAAACCCUCCGAACUGCAAAGCCUUGUGAUAGGGUUUAUGUGAAUAUGCAUUCACAGUGUCUUUUUCUUUUUUCUUUUUUUAACAAUAGUGUAAAUUGGGUUGUAAUUUAAAAAGGGAUCAAGCCCAGGUUUACAAGCAUUGAGGACUUGCAAGUUCUAAAAGGGUCCAAGGUAAAUUCAUU